GACGAACGCUGGCGGCGUGCUUAACACAUGCAAGUCGAACGGAAAGGCCCUGCUUGCAGGGUACUCGAGUGGCGAACGGGUGAGUAACACGUGGGUGAUCUGCCCUGCACUUCGGGAUAAGCCUGGGAAACUGGGUCUAAUACCGGAUAGGAGCCCUUUUUAGUGUGAUGGUUGGAAAGUUUUUUGGGUGUAGGAUGAGCUCGCGGCCUAUCUGCUUGUUGGUGGGGUAAUGGCCUACCAAGGCGGCGACGGGUAGCCGGCCUGCGAGGGUGGGCGGCCACAAUGGGACUGAGAUACGGCCCAGACUCCUACGGGAGGCAGCAGGGGGGAAUAAUGCACAAUGGGCGCAAGCCUGAUGCAGCGACGCCGCGUGGGGGAUGACGGCCUUCGGGUUGUAAACUCCUUUCGCUAGGGACGAAGCUUUUUGUGACGGUACCUAGAAAAGAAGCACCGGCUAACUACGUG
rnacentral:rRNA from 1 species